UACACUCCUGCGGGAGGCAGCAGUGGGGAAUUUUGGACAAUGGGCGAAAGCCUGAUCCAGCCAUGCCGCGUGCAGGAUGAAGGCCUUCGGGUUGUAAACUGCUUUUGUACGGAACGAAACGGCCUUUUCUAAUAAAGAGGGCUAAUGACGGUACCGUAAGAAUAAGCACCGGCUAACUACGUGCCAGCAGCCGCGGUAAUACGUAGGGUGCAAGCGUUAAUCGGAAUUACUGGGCGUAAAGCGUGCGCAGGCGGUUAUGUAAGACAGUUGUGAAAUCCCCGGGCUCAACCUGGGAACUGCAUCUGUGACUGCAUAGCUAGAGUACGGUAGAGGGGGAUGGAAUUCCGCGUGUAGCAGUGAAAUGCGUAGAUAUGCGGAGGAACACCGAUGGCGAAGGCAAUCCCCUGGACCUGUACUGACGCUCAUGCACGAAAGCGUGGGGAGCAAACAGGAUUAGAAACCCCGGUAGUCCCA
rnacentral:rRNA from 1 species